CCGAUGGCGACCGGCGCACGGGUGAGUAACACGUAUCCAACCUGCCCUUUACUCGGGGAUAGCCUUUCGAAAGAAAGAUUAAUACCCGAUAGCAUAAUGAUUCCGCAUGGUUUCAUUAUUAAAGGAUUCCGGUAAAGGAUGGGGAUGCGUUCCAUUAGGUUGUUGGUGAGGUAACGGCUCACCAAGCCUUCGAUGGAUAGGGGUUCUGAGAGGAAGGUCCCCCACAUUGGAACUGAGACACGGUCCAA
rnacentral:rRNA from 1 species